rnacentral:rRNA from 1 species
AUUGAACGCUGGCGGCAGGCCUAACACAUGCAAGUCGAGCGGAUGAAGGGAGCUUGCUCCUGGAUUCAGCGGCGGACGGGUGAGUAAUGCCUAGGAAUCUGCCUGGUAGUGGGGGAUAACGUCCGGAAACGGGCGCUAAUACCGCAUACGUCCUGAGGGAGAAAGUGGGGGAACUUCGGACCUCACGCUAUCAGAUGAGCCUAGGUCGGAUUAGCUAGUUGGUGGGGUAAAGGCCUACCAAGGCGACGAUCCGUAACUGGUCUGAGAGGAUGAUCAGUCACACUGGAACUGAGACACGGUCCAGGCUCCUACGGGAGGCAGCAGUGGGGAAUAUUGGACAAUGGGCGAAAGCCUGAUCCAGCCAUGCCGCGUGUGUGAAGAAGGUCUUCGGAUUGUAAAGCACUUUAAGUUGGGAGGAAGGGCAGUAAGUUAAUACCUUGCUGUUUUGACGUUACCAACAGAAUAAGCACCGGCUAACUUCGUG